rnacentral:rRNA from 1 species
GAGCGCCGUAUCAAUACGGAGCGGCAGGCGGGAGAGUAACACGUGGGAACGUGCCCUUCAGUUCGGAACAACCCAGGGGAAACUUGCGGCUAAUACCGGAGUACGUCCGUAAGGAGAAAGAUUUAUCGCUGAAGGAUCGGCCCGCGUCUGAUUAGCUUGAUUGGUGAGGUAACGGCUCACCAAGGCGACGAUCAGUAGCUGGUCUGAGAGGAUGAUCAGCCUCACUGGGACUGAGACACGGCCCAGACUCCUACGGGAGGCAGCAGUGGGGAAUAUUGGACAAUGGGCGCAAGCCUGAUCCAGCCAUGCCGCGUGGGUGAUGAACGCCUUAGGGUUGUAAAGCCCUUUCGGCGGGGAAGAUAAUGACGGUACCCGCAGAAGAAGCCCCGGCUAACUUCGUG